rnacentral:tRNA from 1 species
GGGGUUGUGGCUUAGUGGUAGAGCGCUCACCUAGCACAGGUGAGGCCCUGGGUUUGAUCCCCAACACCUCA